CCCACAUGAUGAUAUCAUGGCAAGUUAAAUGAUUCAGUCAAACCAAGAGAUUGUGGUCUCUAGCUUGGUGUGAGAUGGGUAGUCUUGGUAGUGUGGUUGAGUUUUACUGCACUGCUGUAAGGGCCCAUCAACAGUGAAAUUGUCACCUCCUACAACCUCUGCCCCCCAAGAGCAAUGGGAUGGUACAGGUCGGAGAUGUCAAACAACGUGUGAAUGUUUGUCUUUGUGUGUGUUGUCGUAUGAAUGUAUAUGUAUCAGCUGGCAAGAGGCUAUAGUCUCACCAUGGUUGGUUUGGCAAAUAUGAAUUACAGUCUUUGGUAACCUGAGGGCA